CCUACGAGUGGCUGCAGUCGAGAAUCAUUCACAAUAGGGGAAACCCUGAUGGUGCGACGCCGCGUGGGGGAAUGAAGGUCUUCGGAUUGUAAACCCCUGUCAUGUGGGAGCAAAUUAAAAAGAUAGUACCACAAGAGGAAGAGAUGGCUAACUCUGUGCCAGCAGCCGCGGUAAUACAGAGGUCUCAAGUGUUGUUCGGAAUCACUGGGCGUAAAGCGUGCGUAGGCUGUUUCGUAAGUCGUGUGGGAAAGGCGCGGGCUCAAGCCGCGGACGGCACAUGAUACUGCGAGACUAGAGGAAUGGAGGGGGAAACGGAAUGCUCGGUGGUGCAGUGGAAUGCGUAG
rnacentral:rRNA from 1 species